CGCUUCUGUCCUGCGGAAACCCCGACAGACAAGCCUCGACUGUGGAUGAAAGGAAUAUCAAGAGCAAGCAAUUAAAACAUUGUCUAGAAUAUAAUGGGUCUCAAAAUAUUACACGCCUAAUAACUUCACAAUACACUUGAUUGCAAAGGGUUUUACAUUGUUGCUCAUUCAGCUAGUCUAGAUUUGGGAACACAACCGACAGAUGCAUUAACAUGUUUCAGCUUUUUUUUUUUGGUUUAGGCCAAGGUGAACUUUCCAAAGUCAAUACAUCAAUAAUAAUUGGUUUUAAUUACUCAGGGAAGCCAAUAUAAUGUUUCGCGCAUGCGCAAAAGACAACAUCACUCAAUUCUCUCUACUCCCGCUUCAGUGAUGUUACAGGUGAGACAGCAGCUGUUGAGUCUCUGCUGUGAUUUGGUGAUGAUGAAGGUUAGAUGUCUCCAACUCUCCCAGGAAACAGCAGAGAGGGCCACCGUUUUACUGAAUUAUUAAGAACCCAGGAACAGAAAAUCAGCCCCUCCAACUGAAGGUAAAAGUGAGACAUGUGAGGAAAACAACGCCAGUUUCCAAUGAUGGAUCAUCCAUUAGUCACUUGGCUCAGGCUGGUCUGUGGUGUCUUUUGUGGACUUGUAGUUUGUAAUUGCACAUAUAAAAUGUUGUACAGUCCAACACAGUUGACCACAGUGGGUACUUGUAUCAGUUAACCUUCAUAUAAUGCAUGACUGCGAGCAUUAAAUAAGGAAAGCUUAAAAGAAGCACAUCUAUAAGUUCUUUGCACUGAAAGAUUAAAAAAACAACAACAAAAAAAACAACGCUCUCCUUCCCAGUAAUUCUUUGUUCGACAGUAUUCCAACUACACAAAAUCUUUCAGCAUUAUAAAGGGGUUAUGUUUAAGUAAAUUGAAACAGAAUAGGAUUUCCCCAGCGUCAAAACCAUAAACAUAUCCUCCUGUUAAUUGCUUACUACUGCUGAGGUACUGUACUGAUGUACUGCUUUAUUGUUACUACUUGUUUGUUUUGCCCCACUUGCACUCUCACAUCCCUGAGGAAAUAUCACCAUCUUUUUUAUUGCCUGUCUUUAUUGCCUAAACUCGCUAUUGCGCCCCUAUUUCAUCAUGAUGAUUAAUCAUAUCAGUGUCCUACAGAAGCUUUAUUCUGUAUGUACAAAGAGCUUUCAAUAGUCGCACAUUAAAUUCUAUUGAGGAA